ACGGGAGGCAGCAGUGGGGAAUAUUGCACAAUGGGGGAAACCCUGAUGCAGCGACGCCGCGUGAGUGAAGAAGUAUUUCGGUAUGUAUAGCUCUAUCAGCAGGAAAGAAAAUGACGGUACCUGACUAAGAAGCCCCGGCUAACUACGUGCCAGCAGCCGCGGUAAUACGUAGGGGGCAAGCGUUAUCCGGAUUUACUGGGUGUAAAGGGAGCGUAGACGGUAAGGCAAGUCUGAAGUGAAAUGCCAGGGCUCAACCCUGGAACUGCUUUGGAAACUGUCCUACUAGAGUGCAGGAGAGGUAAGUGGAAUUCCUAGUGUAGCGGUGAAAUGCGUAGAUAUUAGGAGGAACACCAGUGGCGAAGGCGGCUUACUGGACUGUAACUGACGUUGAGGCUCGAAAGCGUGGGGAGCAAACAGGAUUAGAUACCCUGGUA
rnacentral:rRNA from 1 species